rnacentral:rRNA from 1 species
UACGUAGGAGGCAAGCGUUGCCCGGAAUUACUGGGCGUAAAGCGCGUGUAGGUGGUGGGACAAGUCUGCUGUGAAAGCGCCUGGCUUAACCGGGCGAGGUCGGCGGAAACUGUCCGACUAGAGGACGGUAGAGGGGGGUGGAAUUCCCGGUGUAGUGGUGAAAUGCGUAGAGAUCGGGAGGAACACCUGUGGCGAAGGCGGCCCCCUGGGCCGGCCCUGACACUGAGACGCGAAGGCGUGGGGAGCGAACGGG